AUCAUGGGGCUCCGCUAAGGAGGUUUCCGGCCGGGAGCCGCCUGCUCGGGCUGUGCGGCCACGGCGGCGGGGACCCUCUGCAGGCACGGGGCACGCGCCACUCAGGGUCAGGGCAGGCGCCCACCCAGGAGGGCACGGCGCCUCCGCUCACGGCCAACUCCCUGCCUGCCUGGCGGGCGCAAAUCGGCGGCGGCGACCAGGUUGCGGGUCGCGGGCCCAGUCUGCACGCGCUCGCGCACGCGCGCACGCAGACCUGGAGUGACAGCAGGCGCGGGCGCGGCGCGCGGGGGCACCUGGCCACCCUUGUUCCCCGCAGGGCCGCGCCCCCGCAGCCGGCAUUCGCGUGCGUCUGUUAGGAUAGGGUCAUUCUGAGAAGGGGACACCUCGAGGCCACGGUGGGCUCUGAAGGUGCAGAGGGCUUCAUGCGAUGUGAUGUGCAUCUGCUGUGCUGGUGACUGGAAGAGUUGUAUCUGGCUCUGCUGGCUCUACAAAGAGAGAAGUGGAUAUGGAGCAAUUCAUCUUGGGCACCAAUUUAUGGGGCAGAUGGUAGCAUGCUCCCACAUCAGGCUAAUUCUCAGCUACUCCUCAGCUACUCCUUCAAACACAGAAAAGAAAUACUGGUAAGAGGCGAAGCUUUCAGCUGGAACUCUUUACAGCUCCCUCCAAGGACAUCGGAGUGUAAAACAGAAGAGAGAGACACAUAACUCACCAGUGUCAGGUAUGUACUCUGGCCAACCCAUGCAGUUCAAUCCUGUUGGGAC